GGGCCCAUAGUCCAGUGGUAGAACAUCCCGUUUGCAACGGGAAAGCUCGAGUUCGAUUCUCGAUGGGUCCA
rnacentral:tRNA from 1 species